CAAUAGCGUAUAUUAAAGUUGUUGCGGUAAAAAAGCUCGUAGUUGGAUUUCUACCGAAGAUAGCCGGUCGGGUCUUCGACCUUGUAUCUGGUUUUGUCUUUGUUAUCCUCAUAGGGAACGUUUCUGCGCUUUAUUGCGUGGUGCGGUAUCUAUGACUUUUACUUUGAGGAAAUUAGAGUGUUCACGGCAGGCAAACGCCUUGAAUAUAUUAGCAUGGAAUAAUAACAUAGGAUCUUCGUCCUAUUUUGUUGGUUUCUAGGGCUAAGAUAAUGAUUAAUAGGGAUAAUUGGGGGCAUCUGUAUCAACGCGUCAGAGGUGGAAUUCUUGGAUUGCGUUGCGACAAACUACUGCGAAAGCAUUUGCCAAGGAUGUUUUCAUUGA
rnacentral:rRNA from 1 species